GUCAGAUGCAAGGCGGAAGUGGAAGCUGGAUGCCCAGUUUCUGCUGGAAAAUCUGCAGAAGCACCAGCCUGAAUGCUUGUGUCUGAAACCUUCCUAGCUGAGUCUAAAAGGACCACAAGCUGCAUGUAACUGUUCCGGUGAGGUGACACUGAUCCUCAGGCCAGCUCCUGGGACCCCCCAAAAGCCUCCAGCGUGCUCAUCUUUGAGCCAGAUAAGUAUAUGAGGGACACCAGAGGCAAACCCGUGAGGAAGAACCCACCCUGCCUGUCCGCUGCAGGCAGGCCUGGCCUGUGCAUGUCAGAGGGAAGCAAAGACUCUCCUGAGGGUUAUUUUUGUGAUUUGCUCUCUCUGAAUGCGAUUGUGCCCUGGCUUUUCCCACUUGGAAUUAGGAAGUAUGCAAUUCUGUUUCCAGGAUUUCUGUGCCAGGGAAUGAGCUAGACCACAGCCAGCACCACCAUCACAAAAGCAUUGAAGCAGGGUGGGGGUGGGGCUUGGACGCAUACUCGGAGCCCUGUGGUUCUAGCAGCGUAUUCCUGAUAGCUAAAAGAUGGACAUGAGCCAAUUCCCAUAGGGAGAUGAGGGGGCUGGCACCUCGCAGUGGAAUAUCACUCAGCUGACAUCCGAGAUCUGAAGUGACACAGGCCACAACCUGAAGGAUCUUGAAGGCACUAUCGAGAGUAAAGUCAGCAGAGUGGAUGUGUAUUACAUGGGUCCACUUAAGUGGGCCACCUACUGUAGUCAGAAGCCAGAGACAGUAGAUGGUGGUUGGCAGCAGGGACCUGUGUUGCUUACAGGGUACAGAGCUCCAGUUCUGGGUGAUGCAAAGGUUCGACAAUGAGUCAUAAUGGUGUUUAUGCAGCAUUGUAAACGGUGCCACUGACCCGGGUUCCUGAGAUGGUUAAAAUGGCAAGGUCUAUGUAAAAUUUAACACCACCACCACCACCACCACCACCACCACCACCACCACCACCCACACACACACACAGAGAGAGAGAGAGAGAGAGAGAGAGAGAGAGAGAGAGAGAGAUCAUGAGAUCAUGGGAAUGAGGUACCUGUGGGGACUUGUGAGGUGAGCUGGGGUCUGUGGAGCUGUGCCCUCUUGGAGUUCAAGGGUCACCCCUGUAUCCUGGUCAUAUCUCGGGGCUGUGGGUGAAUGCUCAGAUUUGAGGCUUUGAAUGCCUGGAGGAGAUGCUUGAUUGAGAGAAGCUCCCAGAAGCCCUCUAAGUCAAACCCACCCUGCACUAAACCCCGAUAUGAAGGGGAAGAAGGGCUGCUUCACUAGGUCCAGCCCAAUGAACAAAGAAGGGUGUUAGUGCCUGGCACUCUCAGCCAUACUGGGCCACGGGCAUCGGGCAAUUUCCAGCAGGUGGGUGUAAUGUGUGUAGGGACUGGGCUUUAUUUAUCACACCAGCAGUAGGGAAUUCUCCAACGGGGCGAGGGGCUGACUUUCUCCCCUUCCACCUAGAAGUUUCCAUAUGUGUUGCCUAUGUGGCCAGGCUGUUCUGUACCGCCUCCUCCACUCUCAGAAUCUGGAUUUGUUUUUGCUAACCCCAGGUCCCCACUGCAGCCUCAGUCGCACAGCAUAGUCUUGGGCAUCCGUUCACCCUGUGUGCAUCAGCAGGCUCUCCUGAGGUCUCGGCUUUCCUCCUCUGUACAAUGGGAACAGUGAGAGUUCUCUAGUUCUCCUAAGCGGGUGAUGGCUCCCUGUAGCUGGUAGCAGGUGUCCGACUCAACAAAUGGUGGCUGUAAUAGUUAUUAUCUUCCCCUCAAAGCAAAAUGCUCCAUGUCUCUCUGGCCUUGGCUCUGUGGAAUUGAGAGCUGUUUGUUGUCAGCAAACAAAGCGCAGCCUGGGAGGAGGCAGGGUGAGGAGAGGGAGCAAGGGAGGGUGCUGCCUGGAGUCCUUGACGCUGGCUUCCAUUGCUCCAAGCACUGUAGCUUCAGCUGGGUGCACCUUGCACUCGGCCAGAAUUCAGCAGCAAUUCACGUGAGGGGCAGACACAGAUAGCAUAGGCUCCGAGAACCUGUAGAUACGAUGUGUGUGUGUGUGUGUGUGUGUGUGUGUGUGUGUGUGUGUGUGUGUGUGUGUGUUUGCAAUUAGGGAAGGACAUCCCCCUUAUUGGGGGGAUGGAAAUGGCUCAAAUGUGCCAAGCGUGUCUGAGGGAACUCUACUGGAUACUGAGGGGCUAGCUGAAGCCAGGUACCCUCCGGAGCCUCUGAGGAAGGUACGCUUUCUCUGCUGGCUUGGUCUCAUCUCCUCUGUCAGGUCUCUUAUGAAGCUAGAGCUGCCAGCCCUAGGUAGGUAGACUCUUCAGGGGCUCAGUGAGCUUCAAAGUGAGGUUCCCAACAGGGAGGUCUUCCAGCCCUGGGAGUGUGAAAAUCAUGUCCUCAGCUCCUCCCCCAGCCCGUGGGGGAGCACACCAGUGAAUAUCUUCAUCAGGUCAGCUGUGACUACUUGCAGGGGACCCUACAGGUGGGACCUGUUGACUCUAGGAGUAGGGAGGGUCAUGGGCCAUUGGAGCCUCACCUGAGAUUCUAUCCAUUCCCUCAUGCACCUCCCAGCUGGCUGUAUGUGGUUCGGCCCUCAAUGUCCAUGACUGCGAGAUCGCAGGAGGCCCCAGUGGGGGCUGAAGAGUUGCUGAAGGCGGGACUCCAUCUCUGUAGCUAGGCAGAAAUGCUUUGGGAUGGCCUACGUCUGAGACAUGGAUACCAGAAGAAUUUCUCUUUUUCCUUCACGGAUGCAAGCUUGGGCCUGGUGUAUGCAAGGGACAAGAAAGUGAGAUGCAGGACAGAGAACAAAUUAGAAUUCUCCUCAGUCGGCCAAUCCAGGAUGGACACAUUGCAGCUUUAUUAUCCAGGAAGGAGAGACAUAGCCAUCUGCUCACCACCGGUCCUUCCAGCUCCUAACACACUUCAACACACAUUGAUACGAAACAGCCGCUACUCAGUUAAACAACGAAACUGAGGGUGUGAGUGCUUUUCUGGAACAUACCCCAACCUGCAGGGCCAGUCUUCUUCCUGAGGAAGUGGUCUGGUAUGCCAGAUAAGUGCUCUGUCACCGUGCCAUGUCCCCAGACUUGGAAGUGGCCUGGUGGCUUCUUAUUGUUCUCAUUGGCCAAAUGGAAUUAUUAUUUCAAAUUCAAAGAGCGAUUAGAGGAAGUGUCUAGCAAGUGUGCUGGUGGAGAGCAAGCCCCAGACAUCUCCCCGACGGUGCCCGCUCCUGCCCUUUCUGCUCCCUGGCAUGGCGCAGCCACUAGAACCCAUGCUUCGGCCCUACCGUCUACCACAGUUCUGUAUCUCUGCCCCACCUCCCUGUCGGAAUGCUCUCAUCAACAAAGUGCUUUGUGAAGAAGUGAAAAAGAACACAGGAUGCAGAGAACAAAGCUGGGCAGUAAGUGUCAGGAGGGUUGAAUAACUCCCCAAAACUCUACAAAUCUCACCAACUUUAUCCCAGCACCUAUGCCCACAGACACGACCCUCCAGGCCAGCCUGGCUUGUAUCUUCCCAGGACUCAAUGGGCUAGUCCCAUGCUGUGGCUAGCCAACGGAAUGUCGUUUCUGAGAGAUUCUGUCAUCCAGCUGGGUAGCCCCAUGGCUCACCCUGCCACUCAGAAUGGUCAGAAUACUGGACUAAUGCGGGGAGAGGCAAUUCCUGAGCCCCCCACCCCAUCAGAGGGUCUGAUCACAGGUUCGUCACUCAGCACAGGAUGUGUGCCCGUGUGCAGGUCCACCAAGUACACUGUCAGUGUUUUGAGGAUCACCCUCCACAUGGCUGAGCAGGCCCGGCAAGGUGAAUGGUGGGGAUGUGAGCUGGGCCAAGUUCUGAGCAGCAAUCCCAUCCGUGCCUGACCAUGCACAUCCUGACCUUCUAUUGCCUCAGUGCACCCCGACUCUACAACCCGCUCAACAAUGGCUUCCAAUCAUGUGAUAUUUGCCCAGGUCCAUCACUCACUGUACAGCCACUUGGCCCCUCCCCAAGGAUAGGGUCAGGACAAACCCUCCUUGCAAUCUAACCCCCACCCAAGGCGAGGCCCACAGGGGGGAGAGCAGUCCCCUCUUGGGAAGCUGAGUGUCUCUGCACAGCUGCACUCUGCUCCCCAUGUGUGGUUUGUUGUGAUAAGGCCAGCAAAGCAGCCAGCCUUGAAAAUGCCAUUUAAUGAGAAAAGACCCACGCUGCUGCCACGGUGCUCGUGGGGGGUGUCUGGCUGCAUUAAAUGCUCCCCGGUAUCAUUGUUUUGUGCUGGGUUUCUAGGUUCGAGUUACCAUUCCAGCUCACGCGGCCAACCUGACAGCAGAUAUUGAUGGACAUUAGCCAAGCUGUUCCCAGGGAAUUUUAAUUACCACAACAACAAUCGCUAAUCACAGCAUUUCCUAAACGGCUGUGGCUGGAGCAGUGGAAAUUGCCCAGGCUCUGGUGGAAGGAAGGGGACAGGCUGGGGAGGUGACUGCUGGCAAGGAUGGAGGAAGGGCGGCUGAGAAGCCCCAGUCUGCCCAUUGCUUAGCUGGUGUGACCUGGGCUGCACACCUCAGUGCUCCCGGUGUGUCUCACUGACUUGACUGGCUUGCCCGUACUCCCUGACCCUCAUCCCACAAAUAAAGGAGAUGGGGCCAUCUGACCUUGGCACAUGCUGUUCCUAACACUUGUAAGGCCUGCAACCAGGUCUCCCAUAGGACAUGCACAUUCCCCGGGAAGUCAUUCAUGCCAGAUCUUGCAGAAUCAAGGCCCUUUUGCUUCCAAGGCCAUAGGGUGCCACUCGGACAAGUUCAUGCUUGUCUCUUGUUUGCAUGUCUGCCCCCUGCCCCCGACUGCCCCCCCCAAUGCCCCAUGUUUCUGUCUUUGUCUUUGUCUCUAUUGCCUUUGAGAUAGGGUCUCACUGUGUAGCUCUGGCUGGCCAGGACUUUGCUAUGGAGUCCAGGCUGGCCUCAAAUUCUGAGAUGGGCCUUCCUCUGCCUCCUGAGUUCGGGGAUUAAAGGUGUGUAUCUUCAUGUACAGCUUUGAUCAUUCUUUUGACUUGGACCCUGAGCUCUUCAAGGGCAAGGCUGUGCCUGAGCCAUCCCCGAACUUCAUGAGGAACCCGCUAUGUGAGUGAUGGACAGAACGGAUAAAGUACAGCAAACAGUGCAUGGGCUUGCAUCUUCUGCUACACAAGCUCCAGGCUGACCCAGCCUGGAAAGCAACAGGAACUGGCCCUUGCCAAUACGGUCCUCUUAAUACUGUGGUCAUUUUAAAGGUCUACCUGCUAUGGUAGAGGAGAGACAGCUUGCCCUAAUCUGACUUGAGCAUGCACAUGCAUGCAUAUACAUAUGUACAUACAUACACACUUAUCUACACACACAGAGGAAGAGAUAGACAGAGGCAGAGUGGUUGAGUGAGUGAGCUCUGGUUCCCUGGGAGCUACCAGACAAACUAAUCUUCACAACCCUGCCUCCUGCCAUCCUUCACAUACCUUGCAGUCAAAUACAGCUGUUUCCCCUCCUUUGAACAUUAUCUGAACUCUUCUAUUAUUUUCUAACCUUCAAACCUCUGUAGAUGUUCCUCUUUCCUUCUUCCAAUGAGUGCUUACUUCACUAUUGGGAAAUCACUUUUAUCUAGAACUUUCCAGAGAAAGAAAGCCUCAUCUCUUUCUCUCCACUGUAAGACAUAGACUUGUACCAUGACCACCUCUGUACCUGCCUGUUUCCUGGUGGGUGGGAAGUUCUGAGACAACAGGAACCACCCAGAGGUACCCUGACCCCCGAUUCAGGAUAAGAAGCCCCAUGAAGAGCUCUGUCACAGCAACCCAGUGUUUUCUGUCCCCUUAGUACCCUCCACCCAGGUGCCAGACAAGACCCCAUGUGAAGGCCCUAGAUCAGGAAAUACUCAAGGCAGCCCACCACUGUGGCUGGCACCUUCCCUUGGCCUGGUUGGCCCCAUUCCUCGUAAUCUGUAAGUAAUAAGCUCAUCUUUUCACAGUAUCACCCAGGCACCUCUGUAAACUAGGACAUGGGUACAAAUUUUCAAGCUUGGAUUAAUGGCAGGAGGCGAGAGAGGCAACAGAGCAGUCGAAGCCAGGCAGCUCCUCACCUCUCACAGCAUGAGUCAAGAGCGGGCAUCUUGUGUUGAUGAAUCACACAGAGCAUGACAAGACCCAGCACGUGAACGACAGCCGCCAGCCACCGUGGGCUAGGUGAGGCAGGCCUGGUGUGCGGCUUCCUCUACUGGCUGACACUUGGCCAAACAAUUGGCUUUUUUCCCCUCCCUUCUAAACCACAUUGCACUCCUCUGAUUAAAGUGAAAGCAUAAAGGGUCUGAAAUUGAAUGUUGAUGUUAUUCAAUCCUUGGGCUGCAUGGCAGGCAUGUGGGGAGCUGCAGUGUCUGGCUGGAAUACUGACUCUGGAUGUGGCUUCAGGGUGAGAAGCUAACGGCGUAGGAGAGGAAAGGAAUGCAGUAAUUGAAAUGUAUUUUGUAAGCGGAGCAAGAUAGGAGAAGAUGUGACCCUCUAGCACAUUGCUGUCCCCAUCCAAGCCACCGGGAGCCAGGACUUUGACAGUGAGAAGCACAGUGAGCUAAGCUGAGUCUAGAGGGAGGAAGGGGCAGGGCCCAGGGCAUCGCACAGCUAGAGAAAGGCACGGUCUUUCUGAGGCUGCUAGAUAGUAUCUUGUGGCUAGGUUUCUGUGGCGAUAAACUGGGUAUGAAAAGCCACAGGGAGGGGCUGGAGAGAUGGCUCAGAGGUUAAGAGCAGAUACCACUCUUGAGAGGAGCAAGUUUUGGUUCUCAGGUGACUCAUGACUGCUUGUAACUCCAGCUCCAAGGGAUCCAACACCCGUGAGCCUCCUAGGGCCCCUGUGCACACUCGGCACACAGGCACACACGACACACACAAUAAAAAGAAACGAAUCUUCAAAUGGCAAAGCCGUGGUGAACCCAGCCCCUUCCUCUAACUCAGUGACCCAGAUGUAGUACUUGCAAUGUGGCUCCCACAAUCCCUAGAGCUUUCCCUCCCACAGUCCCUAGGGCUUUCCCUUUUUCAGUUGGGCCUGGCACACAGAGCACAGCAAGGAAACAAAGGGCUGUCGUGCCAUCAACAUGGUGUUGUGCCAGAACCUGCCAUGACCAUUCACAAGUGACCAUGACUGCUCACCCGAGGAGUGGGUUUCUGGAAGCACCCCAGGCAUUCAGAGAAAUUUGCUACAGAGAUGAUCUACAGCGCACACACCAAGAAGAACAAGGAUCUUCCAUGUUGUGCCUGUGUGCACCUGUCCAGAAAAGAGUCUGAGGAGACACUGAGCAUGCUCUACAACGUGCCUGUGCCCCUGCUUCCAUGUGCACCAGCACGGAUGAGAACUAACUUCUGAGUAUCAAGAUAAUAAACCAAAACAGAGAGAAAGAGAAGAAGUGAGAAAGAAAAGUGUCAUUGAGCCUCCUGUCACCUGGUUUUGGAUGCCCUUCGAAGACCCAUGAGCUAAAAGUGUGGCUCCCCAGUCAGCGAUGCCAUUUAGGAGGCGGGAGGAACUUUAGUGGGGCCUAGUAUGUGGUCUUCGGAUCAGUAGAUCCUUGAAGCGGAUAGGACAGUGAGUCCGCAGCCCCCUCCUCUCCCGUUUUCUGCCACUUCCUCUCAGAAGCAUAAAGACAAGAGGGCUGCCUAAUCGCAGCGGGAGAUCACAAUGGUGAGCCACCAUGAACCUUUCUUCUUCACAGGGUGAUAUGGCACCUGUUCAUUACAGUAACAGAAAGCUGACUUGCAUAGCAGCCCAUGUGGGGUGGGAUGGGGUGGGCUGAUGGGAAGGACACACUGUUCUCAGUUCUCUUCUGCUAGAAAUCCUCUGUUGCUCAAACCAGGCCAGGCCCAAGCAACCUCACAGUUCCAACCCUGAAUCACCGCUGACCCACAAGCCUUCAGGCUUGUUCAAGUCAGACAGAGACUUGGAUUUCCUAAGGAGAUACUGUAGGGUGGGUUUUAACAGUAUUCUCAGUUAUGUUUUUUUUUUAAAUAUAUUUUAACGCACAUGCUCUGUGUGUGUGUGUGUGUGUGUGUGUGUGUAUGUGCACAUAGACAUGUGAGUGUAGGUGUUCCUGGAGGCCAGAAGAGGGUGUUGGGUCACCUAGAGCUGGAAUCACAGAUGACUAUGACUUGCCUGAUGUGGGUGCUGGGAACUGAACUUGGGUGCUCUGUAAAAGUGCCAAGUGCUUUUAAUCACGGAGCUAUUUCUCCAGCCCCUCAGGAUUUCUCUUAACAAUUAAAAUAAAACCACGCCUUUAUUAUUUCUUUUGUGUGUUGUGGGGUGUGCCACAGCUCGAGUGUGGAGGUCAGAGGGCUGAAUGCAGGAGUCAGUUCGUUCUUUACAUGAUAUGGGCUCCAGGGAUAGAACUCAGAUUAUCAGGCUCAGCGGCAAGCACCGUUGCCAGAGAAGCCAUCUUGUCAGAUCUUGCUCAGGCCUUUUCCUGCUCUGAGCAAGAGUGUAAAGCAGGUAACAUGGCCUGGUGGCCACAUUUGUAGCCACAGAAGCACAUGUGGAAGAGGUUGGAUCCGCCCUUCUUAGGGUCAGCAUGGCAUCCUCUCUGUUCUUUCACUCGGUGGGGCUGUGGUUCCAUCGAGCAGAAGCUGUGGACCAACCAGCAAGAGAAAAACACCCUCAUACGUGUGGUGGCUCGGCUGGCUUAGAGGGACUGAAAUAAAAGGUUCCAGGGCCAGAGGGUGGGGGAGGGAGACCACGGUACCAGAAAACUCAGUGCCCAAAGGGAAAAAGGCAGGGUUGGGUUUAUAUCGCUGACAUGAACAGAGCUACAAAAUAUAAUAAUAUAAAAGAAAUUACGUUUAAACAGUAGCUAUAAAAGAAUCGGGUGACAGUUAGAUCCGAAGAUCCAGACUGUAUCAGCGAAAACCAAACAGCUACAAAUAAAACCCCGUUCUUCGUGGUGGUGCAGGAGUUAUUAUUCUAUUCUAAUGUAAAUGAUAAAACAAAAUUGCUCUGAAUAGUCAAAAAGUCAUACAUGUAUAAUUUGUAUCAAUCAGUAAGUCAGUCAAUCAUCUAUCAGCAACAACUAAGAAAAUUAAAACUAGGCAGGUUUGUCAUUUUAGCACACUUAAUUUUCUUACCUUUUUUUUUUUUUUUAAAGACAAGAUCUCACUGGGUAUAAGGGAAUAAUACCAGCACCAGGGAGGCAGAGGCAGGCUGAUCUCAGUGAGUCUGAGAGUUCCAGGACAGCCAGAGCUACACAGUGAGACCCUGCCUCAAAAACAAAACAAAACACAAGACCUCAUAUGUAGCCAUGGCUGUCCACCCUAAUGCUAGGAUUAAAGCCAUGCUAUGCCACAUCACAUCUAGACAUUUUUCUUAUCCUUUCUGUCCCUGUUGCUUUCUCUCCCACUUCCAGACUUGGGUCUGUGUGACUGUGUGUGUAUACAUGUAUGCAUGGGUGCACUCGUGUUUGCAGAUGUGCACGUGUGCAUGGAGGUCAGACGGUCAACCCCAGGUAUGAUAGCAUUCCAGGGAACUGGUUGCCUUUCUUUUUUUUUUUUUUUUUUUUUUUUUUUGUUGUUCUUUUUUUUCCGGAGCUGGGGACCGAACCCAGGGCCUUGCGAACCCAGGGCCUUGCGCUUCCUAGGCAAGCGCUCUACCACUGAGCUAAAUCCCCAACCCCACUGGUUGCCUUUCUUAAAACACAUAUUGUGACAGCACACCUGUGGAAUUGGUCAAGGACAAUUUGCAGGUGUCAGUUCUCUCCCUAUACCACUCAGGUUUCAGGACUUGAACUUGAAUGGGCAGACUUGGCAGCAAAUGCCUUUACCUGCUGAGGCUUCUUGCUGGCGCUGGCUACCCUGUUUCUUGAGAGAGAGUCUCUCACUGGCUGGCCAGUGAGCCCCAGGGAGUCUCCUGUCCCUGUGUCUCCUCCUCUGAGAUUAAUCAUUCUUCCCGGUAUGUUUUACAUGGGUCCUCACUCAUGCCCAGCAGGAACACUCUCCCCAGCCCUUCUUUAAGCUUCCCGGUAUGGUAGCUCAUUUGUUUGGAUAGAGUAAAGUUAGCCAUCUUUCCUUGCUGCUUGCUUUCUUGCCUCUAGGGAGGGAGCAGAUAGCAUUCAUCAACCACCUCUUGUGUGUUCAGACUGAGCUGGGCAGGGGGUUGGCAAAGACCAAGUGUUCUUGGAGACUGGCUGCUCCCCCCUCCCAAGUGAUCCUUCCCUCCUGUGCAGGGCCCUCGGUGUUUCUGCACAAACUGGAGUCUGUACCCCUGGGAGGGGUGUGGGAGAACCAGGGCCACUGGACAGGGUUGUCAGCAGCCUUCCCCUGGCUGUUUCCCUCCCUACCCGGACAACUCUGUAGCUCUCAUCUUCCAAAAGUGCCAGCUCUCCCAAGGUGUUAACUAGAGGCUGAGACCCCUCCCAGGGGUGAUUAGCACAUUUGCAUUUUGAAGGAUAACACUUUUUUUUUCUUUUCUUUUUUCUUUCUGGGGUUCUGCGGUUCUGGGGAUGAAGCCGUGUCUGAGGCCCGGUCAGGCAACAGCUCAACCACUGAGCUAUCCAUCCCUUCCCUUCAGCAACACCAUCAGGCUUGGGAUAAUAGUUUAAAACACACUGUGUGUGUGUGAGUGUACGUGUGCGUGCGUAUGUGUGUGUACACUCGUGUGUGACUGUGUUGGUGAGUCAGGAAGAAAGUUCCACCAUGCUGCCACCUCCCCUGAACCAGGGUUCAGCCAUCUGGAAUGUAGGCUCUCCUGCUCCUGGGUCUUCCUGAUAGAUGGCUGUCUUUUCUCAGGGUUCCCUACACUCUAUACCUGCUGUGCAGAGCCUCCAAUCCCACCAGGACACUGGGAACUAAGGCAGAGAGACCCCACCCCCACCCCACAGGACGCUCUGUCCUCUGGACCAUGAGGGCAGGAAGCUGAGCUCAGUUCGCUGGAGUCCUGAAUUCCCCAGGUCUGAGCAAGCCUCCUCUUCAAUUCAAGUGGGCUUUGAGCACCAGGGCAGCCUGGGAGACUAGCAGCUGCCAGCACAGCGGAACGGAAAAGCUGCAGUGAGGGGAAAAAACCCACUGUGAGGGUGCUGACUGAUUUUUUUUUUUUUUUAAGAUAAUUCAAACACCGCGGCUGGAUUAUUUCAGAACGAGGGGGAGCACUCUGCUCUGGCUUCCAUGAGGCAGCCUUUGGCGAGGGGCUGUUUCUAUAACAAUUAUCCACCCAUAAUAAACAAGGGGAGCUUGCCAGUGUCAUGAAGCAGUGGCACAAAAGGUCCUGUUAGACAGACAGGCGGAAGGCUCUGUCCCUACGUCAGGCUUGCUGGACCUGGCUCAGCCCUACCUCUCUGUAGUCUUGUUGCCCACCUUCAGGAGUAUCCCUCCAGCCCUGUAUCCCACGCUAUCUGGGAUGUGGGAGGGUCCUUGUAAGCCCCCACCCUCUGCAAGGGCCACACCCCCCUCUGGUCCGCAGUGGUGUCUCCGCCUUCCGUGGCUGUUCCUGCCAGCUCAGCAAAUCCACAGGGACAAGGCUCUCUGCACCUUCUAUAGACCAUGGAUUGGCAACACUUUGAAAAUGCUUCCCCUUUCUCUGAAUUCCUAAGUAUCGUGGAAUCUCUCUGAAUCCACACACUGCCCUCCCCUCCCGCUUCUGCCACAGGUCUCGGGGAGCAUGCUCAGGUGGUGUUUGGAGGGAGGCCACGCUCUGGCCCCAGAUGGAGUGGGCUGCACACCGGAAAUGAAUAGAGGCUGUGAGCGGAAAAUUGCGCAGGCCAAUUAUAGCAAGCCAGGUCUUCUCAGAGGAGCUUCUCGAUUCUGAUUCAAUUCCCAGAACAACAAAUAUGCCAGUGUUUAAACACAGUCCCAGCCAAAGCCACACUACUGGCCCCUGAGUGGACAGCUCUCAGGUGGAGGUGGGGGAGAACAGGGGCCUUAAAUGCUGGGCCUUGCUCCUCAAAGGUGCCUGCGGUCAGUGUGAGCACUUCAUUUUCAAUCUAUUUUGCUCCUCUUGGGAAAACCUUUUAAUUCUGAGGCCCCUCUAUCUUCCUUACUCAUUGCCCCCCCCAAUCCCAUUUUUCUGGGAGAUCUUACAGAUUUCUCUGGCUCACUAAUUCAAGCUUCCUAUUUUGUCUGAUUUGGGGGAUUUCACGUUGUCUCUAGAUGUGUACUGGUGACAUGCACACAAAGUUUAUUCUGUACGCAGCACUAUGCCGAACCUUUUUCAUAUAAACUCAUCAGGAGACCUAGUAUUACUGGAUGGGGACUGCCCCUAGAUGGGAGAGCAACACUAGGCAUUCCAGGGUCACAUGACAGCUCUCUGGUCCUAGUAGUGCCACCUUAGAUUUGUCACCAAAGGUCCCAAUCCUCCACUUAGUUGCAAAAUGGGGUCACUGAUGCUCACCUCUGAGCCUUGUGUCAACCCUGCAGGAAGAACGUAGCGAAGGGUAUCUAUCCUUCCUGCUUCCCUGUGUCACAAGGACUUCCUGGCGGCCCUAUGCGGUAUAUGUUUGAAAUUGUUUCUUUAGGAAAGGAAAUGGGGUAUUACUCCAGGGCUAGGCACCCCCUAGGAGAUCAAUAAAUACUUCCUAAAGCAAGGGUCUACCCUCGACUCCCUAGUCCCCAUCUGUGAGACAGCUGGCAGCGGGAGGGAGCAACUGUGCCAGCCAGUGCCAUUUGGCAUCUGAAAAACAAGCUGGAAGCUUGGAUCACAUUUUAUUCAAAUUAGUGCGAGAGAGAGAGACCAAAUUCAGAUACUCCCUAAAGGCACAAGUAUGACAGAGCCAAACCAUGACCACACAGGCCUGACAGAUAGGGCGGGAGGGAGCAGAUGGAGGGUAACAUCAGGGUGGAGUCAUACCAGCUGAGAUCGCAGGUACCGCGUACCUUGCUGUAGUCAAGGUAAAUCUCACAAAGGAUAGGGUCCCCAAUAAUGCCAGCACCCAAGCAUAUUCCUAAGGGUGACUUAGUAACUUGAAGCACCCAGUAAACGACAUAACUGAUGAAGACUUGUGACCCAGGGACCAACCUCCAGAAAGGACUAUGCUGACCUACUGAGUACUGAGGCUUUGGGGACCAUACCCCAGUACUUGCCUCAGGAGACCUCAGCACUACAAGGUAGGGAGCCUCAGUUCUAUGGACAUGAUAUGCACUAGGGGUUUCCACUGUAUCGUUCUGGUCUUUGCUCAGAUGCCCAUGAGCCUCCCCAUUAUACCUGCCUCAGGUCUAUGCUGAAACCCAAGCUUCUGGAAAGGUCCCAAUGAUGUUGCUUCCAUGGUCACCUUGACUGAAUUUGGAGUCACCUAGGGAAUGUGGCUGGGGAUGUAUCCACAAGAGUUUUCUAGAGAGGCUUAACUGAGUGUAGGCAGUACUGUCCACAGGUCAGGGUUCCAAGUCGAUAACAAUACUGGGCACCAUCAGAAUUCUUUUGCUUCUUGACUACAGACACAGUGUGGUCAGCCUCCUCACAUUUUACCCUUGUCUUCUUAGCUGUGGGACAAUAAAAAUCUACAACUGUAGCCAUUUUUUUUUUUUUUUGGUUCUUUUUUUCGGAGCUGGGGACCGAACCCAGGGCCUUGCGCUUCCUAGGCAAGCGCUCUACCACUGAGCUAAAUCCCCAACCCCUGUAGCCAUUUUUUAGCUUUACAGUUCAGCGUUGUUAAGUGCAUAUACACGGCUGGGCCUCCACCCUUCCCCCACAGGACUCUACUCACCUCCCAAACUGAAGCUCUAUCCCGACUCACGACUCACAUCACACCAACAAACCCACCCUCAGCACCAGUAGCCGCCUCCCCUUCCCAUCUCCCUGGGUUUGCCAGCUCUAGCUACCUCUCUUGAGAGGAAUCCCACAGUGUUUGUUCUGGUUUCUGUCACCCAGCAUCUUAACCUCAGGGUUUCUCCCUGUGGUAGGCUGUGUCACAACAUCUAGGCGUUAGGAGGCCACAUGAAGCGAGUGGUGUAUGCAGCACAUUUCACUUAGCCUCUUGUCCUGUAGGCACUUGGGUGGUGUCCUCCUUCAGCCACUGUGAACACUGCUGCCGUGCAUAUGUGCAUGCAGUAUCUGUGCGAGCCCCUGCUUUUAACCCUUGCCAUUUCGCCAGAAUAAGUGGCUAUAAAACCCACCAUCUGGAAAUGCUAAACAAAGGGGUAAUUCUUCAGGAAUAUCCGGUGAAGCUGCCACACUCUUCUCUACAGCAGCCACACGUCCUGUAUUUUUGCCAGCAGUGCACAGUGGUCUGGUCCGGGUUUCCCGCAUCCUCGCCAACACUGGGGGUUUUCUGCUGCCUUAGGGCAGCCACCCUGAUGGGUGACAUCCUCGUUAGUCCUGCUCCCUCCACCUUGUCCUAUUUUCCUUCUCAGUAUCUAACAGAUUAUGUCAUUCGUGCCAGGUGGUUUUCAUGUCAACUUGACACAAGCUAGAGUCAUCAGAGAGGAGGGAGUCUCAACUGAUAAAAUGCCUCCAUAAAGACCAGACUAUGGGCAACCCUGUAGGGCAUUUUCUUAGUGACUGAUGUGACAGGGACCAGCCCACUGUGGGUGGUACCAUCCCUGGGCUGGAGGUCCUGUAUACUAUAAGAAAGAAGGCUGAACAAGCCAUGGGGAGCAAGCCAGUAAGCAGCAUCCCUCCGUGGCCUCUACAUCAGCUCCUGCCUCCAGGUUCCUGGCCUGUUUGAGUUUCUGUCCUGACUUUGAUGAUGAACAGUGAUUUAGAAGGAUAAGCCACAGAAACCCUUUCCUCCCCAGCUUGCUUGGUCAUGGUGUUUCAUUGCAGCAAUGGUAGCCCUGACUAAGACACCCUUCCAUAUUUACUGGCUUGCUCAUGUUUUACUGUACGUUUCUCACUUGUGCUAAAUGAGAGCUCAGGAGAGGGAUGCUUGGAUGCUUUGCCCAUUACUGUUUUCUAAGGGCCUGAAACUGUACAGGCACAGAGCAAAUACCCAGGGGUGUUAUGAAGGAAGGAAGGAAGGAACAAAAGAAAGAAUGAAUGAAUGAAUGAAUGAAUGAAGGCAGGCUUGUUAGAGUGCAUUUUGGAGGAAGACACAGCUAGCUUUAACUCCUGGCUCCAUUAAUCACUCCUUGGGGUCUUUGGGCAAGUGACCUUUCUCUGAGGUUCAGCUAUUCCAUCUGUCAAGGGGACAAAGUCCUCUAAGUCCCUUGCUGGGCUUCCGUGAGGAAGAUGGACAUUCAGUCACUCCUUGGAUGUGACCAACAUCUAUUGUCACUAUUAGCUGUUCUGGUGUGUGUGUGUGUGUGUGUGUGUGUGUGUGUGUGUGUGUGUGUGUGAGAGAGAGAGAGAGAGAGAGUGUGUGUGUGUGUGUGUGUGUGUGUGUGAGAGAGAGAGAGAGAGAGAGAGAGAGAGAGAGAGAGAGAGAGUGUGUACAGUUAGCACAGAGGACUAUGUUAGGGUUGUGAUAAAGUUUUUCCCUUUGGGAUCUGUUGGAGUCUCAGGGUAAAACUUCCUAUGCGGAGGCUCAGACUGGCACUUCAAACAAGCUACAGGAAGGUGGGAGUGGGUCAGUCUGUCUUCGAGGAUGCUACUGGUGGGGGCGUCCAGAUAGGCAAACUGCUCUGGGACCUGGUGGGUGCCAGGAGCUUCCUCCUGCUGCCACUUGUGCCUGUGUGGGAGGCUACGAGAUAGCUGCCACAGGGGGCUGUGUGACGGAGCCGCGGCAGCGUGGGAGGUGACCAGCAACACACUGAGGAAGUGUGGCCAUCCAGGUCCCUCAGGAAUGCCGCUACAGCAGCCGAGAGCAAGCCAGGGACAGAUGGUAGGGUACUCAGGCAGCCACCUGUCCCAGCACCAGCUACCCACUCCUCAGUGCGUUCACCCGGCCUGUGAAAGGGGCCCUCAGGCAAAGCUGUUUGCAGCAAGAAUCCAAACUGCGGGCGAUGGAGACAUCCAGCAUGGUGAGGCAGAUGGCAGCCUGCGGUGACACAGGCUGCCAGCCAGGGAGGCAGGUGCUGAGGUGCUGGGCUCAGCAGUCACAGGCAGUUUGAUGGGGGAGGGGGUGGCCCUGAUUCUCUUGGUCAUCUUCAGGCUGUGAGGUUCAGCUCUGCCAGUGGAUGACCCCAUUGGAGUACCACUUGCCUUCAUCCUGGGUGGGCUCCAACAAAGGGCACUUUCCGAUCUUCACUUUUCCUAUUCUCAGAUUUCUCUUAUAGCCAAUCAACAAACAGGAGAGCGAGUGAGGGAUGUGGGUGUACCCUGGGUUCAGUGGGCUUGUGGGCCCCCCCCCCCCAGUCAGGAUCACCAGUGAUAAGAUUGGGAAGCAGAACAGAGGUAUGUUGCUGGGUUGAGGCUGUGAAAUGGUCAGAGGAGGCACAUUUCUUUGCAAAGUCCCCUUUGGAUCAAAAAGCAUUUCUUAAACACCUUUCUAUGCAAACCACUACGGGAACCUCAGCGUGUGUCAGCCCGUGCGGGCUCUGCCUGGGCCUAAUCAGGGUUGUGUGUGUGUAAGCACAAGAGACUUCCAGGGUAAAGAAGAGUGUUCUAAUUGUACUAAUCAGCUUUCAAUUACUUACUCAUUGCUGUUCACCCCCUUCUUAGCUCAUCCCCUUGGAUAACAAAGCCUGCAGCUUCAGCUUCUACCUGUUAGAGGCUGGGGAAUGGUUCCAAGAAUACAGGGGGAUCUAGAUUCUAAUUAACCUUUCCACUGAUUGCAGGACAACUUUGGGUGAAUCAUGGCUUUUUUUUUUUUUUUUUUUUUUUGGCUUUUGUUUUUGUUUUUGUUUUUGUUUUUGUUUUUUUUUGAUGGAUGGGGAAGAAAGGCUACACAGUAAAUGAAUUUUCAGUUUGCUACCUUUAUUCUCAUGUUUAGAGCCUCCAAUACGGUCUCAUCCAACCCCAAGUGACAUACUGAUGGAGACCUGUGAGAAGUGGAACUGAAGACCCCCAGCAGGAGCGAGCAGGGCUGUAGCCAGGCUCACCCAGCACGUGGUGGAGGGGAUUAAAUGUGUGACGCCACAUCCAGACCUGGACCAGCAGAGCUGUCUGUGGCACACGGAGCCAUCCUUUGUCUUUCAUCCCUGCCAGCAUCCUCAAGAGAUUUCCAGACAUAGCUGAGCUGGCAACGUAAACUGUAUCUGGGAUUUACUUCAGUCAGGUUCCCACCUCGGGGAGCAGGGCCAGGGGGUGCCAAGGAGAUGGCGCACACAGGGUCUAAUGUCCUUAGGUUCUGACCCCUCUCUAAUGGCCACAGAGAAUCACAGGUGCCACCUCUGAGGUAUAGUGUCACAGGUAAGAGUUCCCAGCAGAGAGCAGGUGUGAGAGGUUCUCAUAUUGUUUCCAGGUCAGCCUGGUGUACAGGUUCGGCACAUCGGAAGACUAACGAUUGUGUGUAUGUUGUGUGUGUGAUGGGUGUGAUGGGUGUGUGUGUGAUGGGUGUAUGGGUGUGUGUGUGUGAUGGGUGUGUGUGUGUGAUGGGUGUGUGUGUGUGUGUGAUGGGUGUGUGUGUGUGAUGGGUGUGUGUGUGUGUGAUGGGUGUGUGUGUGAUGGGUGUGUGUGUGUGUGUGUGUGUGUGUGUGUGUGUGUGUGAGACGGGGACAACAAGGACUUGAGCCUAGGAAAACUGCCAGCAGUGGGCAGGGCAGGGACAAUUCUGGAGACAUCAACUCAUGGGAAACAUGGAAACUGCAUGCAUGAAUGUGCAUGCCGGGUUUCAGAGGGAAACGGAGAGCCAUUCAGUGUCUUGAAAAGAUGAAUACUGGCUUGGGAAACUGAGCCUGGAGAACAGACCAGGUGGGCUGAGGCAGGAGGAUUGAAAGCUAGGGGCAAACAAACAAAUAGUAACCCCAGGGGAAGGCUGUAGAACUGGAUAGGAAGGGACAGAAUGGAAAUGGGAGAGAGGGGCAGCAUCAGUUGGCUUCUCUGGAACAUAACUGGGAAUCACAUGAAGUCAAAGACGAGCAUAGAUAAUAGCCCAAGAGAAACUCUCUUCUCUGUUCUCAAGGAUAACUGAGUAGCUAGUGGAGAAUUGUUCCUAACAGCAAAGGCACAGAGACCUGGAAAUCACCAAUGGGAGAAAAAGGACAAGAGGGAGAUUUCGGGGGAAAGGGUCCACAGCAGGAGACAGGUAGGACAAACACAUCUGUAUGCAUUGGCAUGCUCAAUUUCAGAAUCAUGGCUUUGAAUCAAAGCAGCCAGCACAGAAAAUGAGUGCAGGACACUGCAUUGGAAGGCAGAUGUGUCAUGACCACACGACUUAGGUACUGGCUAGUUCCUAUCUGCUCUACUGUGACCCUUUAGACACAAAUGUCUGGAGAAGUUGUUUUUGAGAUGGAGUCUUGCUGUGUUCAGGAAAAGCUUUAGCUUCUAGACUUUAGCAAUUCUCCUGCUUCAGCCUCUUGAGUCGCUAGAAGUAUGGGUGCAUGCCGUCAUGACCAUCUUCCAUGAGUAGAUAUCAAGAUUCCUAUAAUUGUUUAUUUUAAACUAUGAAGUGAGUAUGGAUAUGCACACAUGGGCACAAAGUGCCUGCAAAUGUUAGAAAGGUCAGAACCCCAGGAGCCUGGAUUACACAAGGUUGUGAACUAGGAUGCAGAGAUGCUCGUCAGUUAAGAGAGCUGGCUGCUCUUCCAGAGGACCUGGGUUCAACUCCCAGCACCUACAUGGCAGCUCACAACGGUCUAUAACUCAAAGGUCUGACAUCUUUGCACAGACAUACAUCCAGGCAAAACACCAAUGCACACUAAAUAAAAAUCAAUAAACAAACAAACGAAUGAAUGAAUGAAUAAAUAAACAAAUAAAUAUUGUGAAUGGCCCAACCUGGGUUCUGGGAACUGAACUUGGGUUCUCUGCAAAAGUAACCAUGCACACUCUUAGCCAAUGAGCCAUCUUUCCCAGCC